GCUUACACUUGAUCACUAAACUUUAGGUAAAGUUUCCUGUUGACCAUAUGAAUU
rnacentral:snoRNA from 1 species